rnacentral:rRNA from 1 species
AGCAGCCGCGGUAAUUCCAGCUCCAAUAGCGUAUAUUAAAGUUGUUGCAGUUAAAAAGCUCGUAGUUGAAUUUCGGGAUUGGCGCAUCGGUCGUGCCUCACGGGGUAUGAACUGGUGCAGUCAAUUUCUCACCUUCUGGAGAACCGCGAUGUCCUUAAUUGGAUGCCGCGGGGAACCAGGACCUUUACUUUGAAAAAAUUAGAGUGUUUAAAGCAGGCAUUUUUGCUUGAAUACAUUAGCAUGGAAUAAUAAAAUAGGACGGCAUGGUUCUAUUUUGUUGGUUUCUAGGACCACCGUAAUGAUUAAUAGGGAUAGUUGGGGGCAUUAGUAUUCAAUUGUCAGAGGUGAAAUUCUUGGAUUUAUUGAAGACUAACUACUGCGAAAGCAUUUGCCAAGGAUGUUCUCAUUAAUCAAGAACGAAAGUUAGGGGAUCGAAGACGAUCAGAUACCGUCGUAGUCUUAACCAUAAACUAUGCCGACUAGGAAUCAGACGAUGUUAAUUUUUUAAUGACUCGUUGGC